rnacentral:rRNA from 1 species
UAGAGUUUGAUCCUGGCUCAGAUUGAACGCUGGCGGCAGGCCUAACACAUGCAAGUCGAGCGGCAGCGGGAAGUAGCUUGCUACUUUGCCGGCGAGCGSCGGACGGGUGAGUAAUGUCUGGGAAACUGCCUGAUGGAGGGGGAUAACUACUGGAAACGGUAGCUAAUACCGCAUGACGUCGCAAGACCAAAGUGGGGGACCUUCGGGCCUCACGCCAUCGGAUGUGCCCAGAUGGGAUUAGCUAGUAGGUGAGGUAAUGGCUCACCUAGGCGACGAUCCCUAGCUGGUCUGAGAGGAUGACCAGCCACACUGGAACCGAGACACGGUCCAGACUCCUACGGGAGGCAGCAGUGGGGAAUAUUGCACAAUGGGCGCAAGCCUGAUGCAGCCAUGCCGCGUGUGUGAAGAAGGCCUUAGGGUUGUAAAGCACUUUCAGCGAGGAGGAAGGCGUUGUAGUUAAUAGCUGCAACGAUUGACGUUACUCGCAGAAGAAGCACCGGCUAACUCCGUGCCAGCAGCCGCGGUAAUACGGAGGGUGCAAGCGUUAAUCGGAAUUACUGGGCGUAAAGCGCACGCAGGCGGUUUGUUAAGUCAGAUGUGAAAUCCCCGAGCUUAACUUGGGAACUGCAUUUGAAACUGGCAAGCUAGAGUCUUGUAGAGGGGGGUAGAAUUCCAGGUGUAGCGGUGAAAUGCGUAGAGAUCUGGAGGAAUACCGGUGGCGAAGGCGGCCCCCUGGACAAAGACUGACGCUCAGUCAAGCG